UACGUAGGCAGCAAGCGUUGUUCGGAAUUACUGGGCGUAAAGAGUGUGUAGGCGGUGCUCUAAGUCUGUUGUGAAAUCUCCCGGCUUAACCGGGAGGGUGCGGCGGAAACUGGAGUGCUUGAGGGUGGGAGAGGUAAGCGGAAUUCCUGGUGUAGAGGUGAAAUUCGUAGAUAUUCGCAAGAACACCAGUGGCGAAGGCGGCUCACUGGCCCGAUACUGACGCUGAGGCACGAAAGCGUGGGGAGCAAACAGGG
rnacentral:rRNA from 1 species